rnacentral:rRNA from 1 species
UACGAAGGGGGCGAGCGUUGUUCGGAAUUACUGGGCGUAAAGGGCGCGCAGGCGGCUCUGAAAGUCAGAUGUGAAAGCCCCGGGCUCAACCUGGGAAUUGCAUUUGAGACUGCAUAGCUAGGGUGCGGAAGAGGGAAGCGGAAUUUCCGGUGUAGCGGUGAAAUGCGUAGAUAUCGGAAGGAACACCAGUGGCGAAAGCGGCUUCCUGGUCCAGCACCGACGUUCAGGCACGAAAGCGUGGGAGCAAACAGG